AUUGAACGCUGGCGGCAUGCCUUACACAUGCAAGUCGAACGGUAACAGGUCUUCGGAUGCUGACGAGUGGCGAACGGGUGAGUAAUACAUCGGAACGUGCCUAGUAGUGGGGGAUAACUACUCGAAAGAGUGGCUAAUACCGCAUGAGAUCUACGGAUGAAAGCAGGGGAUCGCAAGACCUUGUGCUACUAGAGCGGCCGAUGGCAGAUUAGGUAGUUGGUGGGAUAAAAGCGUACCAAGCCGACGAUCUAUAGCUGGUCUGAGAGGACGAUCAGCCACACUGGGACUGAGACACGGCCCAGACUCCUACGGGAGGCAGCAGUGGGGAAUUUUGGACAAUGGGCGCAAGCCUGAUCCAGCAAUGCCGCGUGCAGGAUGAAGGCCUUCGGGUUGUAAACUGCUUUUGUACGGAACGAAAAGCCCUGGGUUAAUACCCUGGGGUCAUGACGGUACCGUAGGAAUAAGCACCGGCUAACUACGUGCCAGCCGCCGCCGUAAAAC
rnacentral:rRNA from 1 species